CAUGCAGUCGAGGGGCAGCAUGAACUUAGCUUGCUAAGUUUGAUGGCGACCGGCGCACGGGUGAGUAACACGUAUCCAACCUGCCGAUGACUCGGGGAUAGCCUUUCGAAAGAAAGAUUAAUACCCGAUGGCAUAGUUCUUCCGCAUGGUAGAACUAUUAAAGAAUUUCGGUCAUCGAUGGGGAUGCGUUCCAUUAGGUUGUUGGCGGGGUAACGGCCCACCAAGCCUUCGAUGGAUAGGGGUUCUGAGAGGAAGGUCCCCCACAUUGGAACUGAGACACGGUCCAAACUCCUACGGGAGGCAGCAGUGAGGAAUAUUGGUCAAUGGACGAGAGUCUGAACCAGCCAAGUAGCGUGAAGGAUGACUGCCCUAUGGGUUGUAAACUUCUUUUAUACGGGAAUAAAGUGAGGCACGUGUGCCUUUUUGUAUGUACCGUAUGAAUAAGGAUCGGCUAACUCCGUGCCAGCAGCCGCGGUAAUACGGAGGAUCCGAGCGUUAUCCGGAUUUAUUGGGUUUAAAGGGAGCGUAGGCGGACGCUUAAGUCAGUUGUGAAAGUUUGCGGCUCAACCGUAAAAUUGCAGUUGAUACUGGGUGUCUUGAGUACAGUAGAGGCAGGCGGAAUUCGUGGUGUAGCGGUGAAAUGCUUAGAUAUCACGAAGAACUCCGAUUGCGAAGGCAGCUUGCUGG
rnacentral:rRNA from 1 species